ACUACGGGUGGCAGCAGUGAGGAAUAUUGGUCAAUGGGCGCGAGCCUGAACCAGCCAAGUAGCGUGAAGGAUGACUGCCCUACGGGUUGUAAACUUCUUUUAUAAAGGAAUAAAGUGAGGCACGUGUGCCUUUUUGUAUGUACUUUAUGAAUAAGGAUCGGCUAACUCCGUGCCAGCAGCCGCGGUAAUACGGAGGAUCCGAGCUUUAUCCGGAUUUAUUGGGUUUAAAGGGAGCGUAGAUGGGUUGUUAAGUCAGUUGUGAAAGUUUGCGGCUCACCCGUAAAAUUGCAAUUGAUACUGGCAGUCUUGCGUACAGUUGAGGUAGGCGUAAUUCGUGGUGUAGCGGU
rnacentral:rRNA from 1 species